rnacentral:rRNA from 1 species
GUGGGGGAUAACCAUUGGAAACGAAGGCUAAUACCGCAUAAUAGCUUCGGCUCAAAGAGGGGGACCUUCGGGCCUCUCGCGUCAGGAUAUGCCCAGGUGGGAUUAGCUAGUUGGUGAGGUAAGGGCUCACCAAGGCGACGAUCCCUAGCUGGUCUGAGAGGAUGAUCAGCCACACUGGAACUGAGACACGGUCCAGACUCCUACGGGAGGCAGCAGUGGGGAAUAUUGCACAAUGGGCGCAAGCCUGAUGCAGCCAUGCCGCGUGUAUGAAGAAGGCCUUCGGGUUGUAAAGUACUUUCAGCAGUGAGGAAGGUGGGUACGUUAAUAGCGUGCUUGUUUGACGUUAGCUGCAGAAGAAGCACCGGCUAACUCCGUGCCAGCAGCCGCGGUAAUACGGAGGGUGCGAGCGUUAAUCGGAAUUACUGGGCGUAAAGCGCAUGCAGGUGGUUUGUUAAGUCAGAUGUGAAAGCCCGGGGCUCAACCUCGGAAUUGCAUUUGAAACUGGCAGACUAGAGUACUGUAGAGGGGGGUAGAAUUUCAGGUGUAGCGGUGAAAUGCGUAGAGAUCUGAAGGAAUACCGGUGGCGAAGGCGGCCCCCUGGACAGAUACUGACACUCAGAUGCGAAAGCGUGGGGAGCAAACAGGAUUAGAUACCCUGGUAGUCCACGCCGUAAACGAUGUCUACUUGGAGGUUGUGGCCUUGAGCCGUGGCUUUCGGAGCUAACGCGUUAAGUAGACCGCCUGGGGAGUACGGUCGCAAGAUUAAAACUCAAAUGAAUUGACGGGGGCCCGCACAAGCGGUGGAGCAUGUGGUUUAAUUCGAUGCAACGCGAAGAACCUUACCUACUCUUGACAUCCAGAGAACUUUCCAGAGAUGGAUUGGUGCCUUCGGGAGCUCUGAGACAGGUGCUGCAUGGCUGUCGUCAGCUCGUGUUGUGAAAUGUUGGGUUAAGUCCCGCAACGAGCGCAACCCUUAUCCUUGUUUGCCAGCACUUCGGGUGGGAACUCCAGGGAGACUGCCGGUGAUAAACCGGAGGAAGGUGGGGACGACGUCAAGUCAUCAUGGCCCUUACGAGUAGGGCUACACACGUGCUACAAUGGCGCAUACAGAGGGCGGCCAACUUGCGAGAGUGAGCGAAUCCCAAAAAGUGCGUCGUAGUCCGGAUUGGAGUCUGCAACUCGACUCCAUGAAGUCGGAAUCGCUAGUAAUCGUGGAUCAGAAUGCCAUAGAGAAU